ensembl:snoRNA SNORD114-24 small nucleolar RNA, C/D box 114-24
UGGAUUGAUGGUGACUGCUGAUGGCAUAUGACUCACAUAUGAUGAAUACGUAUCUGGAACUCUGAGGUCUGU